UACGUAGGGUGCGAGCGUUGUCCGGAAUCAUUGGGCGUAAAGAGCGUGUAGGCGGCCCGGUAAGUCCGCUGUAAAAGUCAAAGGCUCAACCUUUGAAUGUCAGUGGAUACUGCCGGGCUAGAGUCCGGAAGAGGCGAGUGGAAUUCCUGGUGUAGCGGUGGAAUGCGCAGAUAUCAGGAGGAACACCAACGGCGAAGGCAGCUCGCUAGGACGGUACUGACGCUGAGACGCGAAAGCGUGGGGAGCGAACAGG
rnacentral:rRNA from 1 species